AGGCCGGUUGCAGCCGCGGCGGCGGGAGUCUCCGCCGCAGUCGAACUGGGCGCCCGAGUGGGUGCCCCGGGAUGCGGGGCUCUGUCCCGCCGCCGCCUGCCUAGCACGGGGAGCCGGGCUGGGCCGGGUCCCGAGGUCUGGCCGGUUUCUCCUAGGCUCCAGGGUGAGCCGAGGGCUUCCCGGUGGUUCUGAAGUCUUGCAGCCCCGCUAAAAGCCGUGCUUGGGAUAGGGCAUCCUCCCUUCCUCGGGCCGCCGAACUCUGCAGCGCCCGGUCGCCUGCCCACUGGACUCUGCUUGCCGCGACGCCCGCAUUUAAGCACAGAUGCCCCCUCCACUAGGAAGGGACAGCUAGGAUUCCGAGGCGACGGCGUGCCGCCUCCUAAUGACAGCAGGAGUUCCCAGGAAUAGGACCUACCCAACGGGCAGGGAACUCAAAAGGUACCUACCGGAUCUCUCCCAGAUGAAUGGAAGCAAGUGGUAUUUCUCACCCUCGCCAUUUCCUUCCUUACCCCUUGUUUAAAAAAAACAAACACCCUGAUCUGAACCCUGGGAUACAGUGUGCUGGAGAGAGAACAGCACUUCACGGUCCUUAUCCUCAGAUGUCCCUGGCCUGGCGAGUCACAAUGAGUUUCUGAUUGAAAGGAUACUCCCUAAGUUCUCAGCAAAUGGAACAGCUCUUUUGGGUUUUGAAAUCUUUUUGUACCUCCCUCUCCCCACCUUGGGUAAGUUUGUUAUGAUUUAAUAACAGCGCCCAAGGGAGUGCAGUAGUUCCUUGGUCGUGCAAAUAUCUGUAAUUUCUUGGACUGUUUUCCCAACCUGCUUCUUCUAGAUGUGUCUGGCCAUGACUGGGAGUUUUAGGGCAUCAUGUGUUGAGAACCCUGUGACUUCGUUCCGGUUUUAUCUUGGCAUCCUAGACUCUCCAAAGCUCAGAGCAGGAGCACACAUCUGGUUCAGCUUGCUCCCUUUACAGAAGAGAAAACUAAGACCCGAAGACAUGAAGUGGCCCAAGAGCCAGAACACAGGUUCCUUGACUCCCGAUUCCUGAGCAAUAAAUAACAGAAACACAGGGUUAGCAAAGUUCAAUUUGGGGUCGAUAGAGGGGGUGGCGGAGAAAGAACGGAUCCAGGAACCCUUCCUCUGUCUGCAGUGAAUCACUGCGUAGGGGGCAGCACCACAGGGCUGUAAAUAGCAGGCUGGCUGGAAUCUGGGAACCGUGAUCCCAGUCUGCCCCUCUCCGCUUCUCACCCCUCUGGCCCAUCCGAAACCCAGGAAUUGGAAAACAAAUCUGCCUCCCAGAGCGGCAAGUGUAAAUGCAAAGCCAGUUUUCAGUAUUUCCUGGGAAUGUGGGGGAGGCGAAAACAGGUAAAACCAAACUUAAAUCACGGUAUAUUGGAGAUCACAAACAUUACAUACAGAUGCAUGCACACACGUGUGCAAAUAGCUGUCCUCUCCCAUUAAGAGACUGGCUGAGUCCCUUCUCUAAAGCAUGGGCACCAACAGCUUUAGGUGUCCAGAGGCAAAUCACAAAGCGGACUGCCCACUGGCUUUUUGGAGAGCUAACUCGUAUUUAACAGGAUUCUCAGGAACUCUACCAAGAGCUUUAAGAGGCUCAUUAUGGUGAAUUAAUUCCUGGAAUGAGGGACCACAUAGUUAUUGGUCCUAUACGAGACCUGUUCUUUAUUUCUGGUUCUGUUUCUACAUAAACGUCAAUAGGAAUUUGGGAAAGUCACCCUCUAAUGGAAUUAAAACAAGAUCAGUAUUACUAGUGGUGGGGACUUGGCCAGAAACUUCGGGAACAUUUAAAAAUUAGAGAUUGCAGGUCUUGUAUGUCACUGAAUAAUCACUGAUUUCUACGCCUGAAACCAAUAUCGCACUGUAUAUUAACUAAAAUUUAAAU